AACGAACGCUGGCGGCAUGCCUAACACAUGCAAGUCGAACGAGACCUUCGGGUCUAGUGGCGCACGGGUGCGUAACGCGUGGGAACCUGCCCUUAGGUUCGGAAUAACUCAGAGAAAUUUGAGCUAAUACCGGAUAAUGUCUUCGGACCAAAGAUUUAUCGCCUUUGGAUGGGCCCGCGUAGGAUUAGCUUGUUGGUGGGGUAAUGGCCUACCAAGGCGACGAUCCUUAGCUGGUCUGAGAGGAUGAUCAGCCACACUGGGACUGAGACACGGCCCAGCCUCCGACGGGAGGCAGGAGUGGGGAAUAAUGGAACAUGGGGCAAAGCCUGAUCCAGCCAUGGCGGGGGAAGGAAGAAGGCCUUAGGGUUGUAAAGCCCUUUUAACAGGGAAGAUAAUGACAGUACCUGGAGAAUAAGCUCCGGCUAACUCCGUG
rnacentral:rRNA from 1 species